CAUUUAAAUGUUGGCAGUGGAGGAAAGAGUAUAUUUCUUGAGAUCCUUGCCUACUGGAGGCCUUCCAAAGAAUUCUGCCAAGCUGAGUAUGGUCAGGCACCAGCAUCCAGCAAAGAGGAGGUAACCAGCAGCUGAAUGCAUGUGGAAAAUCUCCAGUACUUCAGUGAUGGAUCAUUUUUGUCAGCGGCCUUUUGACAUAAGUGCUACUGGAAGAACAACUUAGUAAAGAGACCAAAUACUUCAACAAAUCUGCAGCUAUCAUUAUCACUGGCCCAGUGUGUAAGAAACUAUUUGUAGGAAGACUGAACUUCCUGAGCUAUAUCCUAGUUCUCAGGAAGUUCUCAGGAAUUCUCAGGAGGACCACCCUGUCUGACAUAGUCUUUCUCUUUCUUUGACUCUAAUGUUGCAAAUCUAACUAUUUCGAUUUAAUGGUGGCUCUGUGCAUCUUGCUUUCUUUCUACACAGCUUUCCAGAACUGUUCUUUUCAGCUCCUCCAUGUGCGUAAUUUUAUCUCUGCUAAAGAUCUCCUCUAAGACACUGUUUUAUUAACAUGUCUGCCAAUUUCUCCAGAGGACCAUCUAUCCUCUUCUUCUGUUGAUGUUCAAUUAGGAUGGAGUGUAGAAAAGUAAUGAAAUAGUCCAUAUACACUGCAAAACUAUAAUGAAACUGCCAAAACACUGAGCCAGUGGCUUGUGGAACUUGCUAUCCAGAGAACAGUUCAAUCCUGAUGUUCAGCCACAGGGUGAAAUUCCUCCUGCCUUGGAUCACCUAUCUCUAACUGAGAGAUGUUUUAGGCCAGCAACAAUAUACCUCUGGACAUGUAAUGGGCUUUGAUAUUUCCAUUAACUUUCUCAACUGUCACACAGUAGUCCAAGCUCUUCUAGAGAUGUAAAAAUCCAUUCACAUAGGGGUAGAGAGGUGGAAAGACUGAGAAUAGUGUACUGGAGAUAUAUUUGUUUGCCCUCUGUAGAAUACUUUAUUAAAGAAGCGUUUGUAUGGACUUCAAAACACAGUAAGAUCAGGAAAUAUUGUGCCUCAGUUCUUAAAUAAAUUGUAAUGAUGUGCAAUUUAAUUACAAUGAAAUUUCUUCAGAAAUUGUGAAAUGAAUUUUUUUGUCCAAAAUGUAUCUCUUAAAACCCUGAGAUAUCUUCUAGACAGUUCUCUGUUUUAUAGGAAAACUGACUGACUUCUUUCUGUGGAUUAUCCCUGAUUUUCAUUCGUGCUUAUUUCCCUGUUUCAUAAAUUCUGUGGUUUUGGACACUAUUCCCUCUACCUUAGAUGUAAAACUUUCUUCUAUUAUCCAAAUUCACAGGAAUUAAUUUCAUCCCUAGAUGAAUUCCCUCAAGUUCCUUGGAAUUACUGUAUGAAUAAAGAUAAAUCUUUAUGCAAGUGUCCACAAGACUACUACAUUUUGCAUGUGUGAAAUGAACAUAUAUGUUAGUUUUGAUAUAUUACCUUUUGACGAGUCUUUGACAAACUAAAGAAGUAAAUGUUAAUUAUUCCUGGAAUAAAUACCGGAGCCUAAAGGUUUAUAACUAACUGUAUCCAAACAAUUCAAAAAAGUUUAUUCUUUUAUUUCUUUUUAUUAAAACACUUUCUGCUUGGUUGUUUGAUUGUAGAGAUCUUGGUCUGUUGUUUUUUUUUUAUUAGUUUUGGUUUUUCGUUUGUGUGUGUGCGUGUGUGUGUUUGUGUGGUUUUUGUCUUC